ensembl:lncRNA
GGGCAACGGUGAGCAGCAGAAAAAAGGUGCUGCUGGUGGGAGUGCUGGGAAAUUGCUGGUAGAAAUGGAAAAGAUCACCAUCCUCAUCAGCUCCUGCUCAACAUCCUGUCCCUAAGAGCUUAGCUCUGCCUGUGAGCAGGUCUGUGUCAGGGCAGCUAUGCUUGCCUGAGUUGUUAUCAUAUCUAAGAGAUAAAACUAUGUCUGGAGAGCACACUGAGAGCAUGAUGUUGAUAAGAAUGGAGUUUGGGGGUGGGAUUUGCCACCUUCCAGUUAGCAUAGAUAAUGUUGCCUACAAGUAUCUUUUUCUAAAACCUUCCUUUCUCCCGUCUGCGUUCUGCCUCCAGCAAACCCAGUCAAUGCUCAGUUUGUUUGGUGCUUGAGACUAUUCCACAUUUCAUUACCUUAUGCUCCAUCUUACUCAUUGAUUGAUUGACUGAUUGAUUGCUAUUGAGAUCCUUUGGCUGAUAUUUUUUUUCUGGCAAAGGAAGAGACAAAGAAUGCUUUAGAUCAGGGCCAGCUGCUGUUGUGAGUCAAAAGUCAUCUUCUGUCUAAAGACACUAAUUGAAAUUUUUUUUAAUUUCAGAGCACAGGGUUCUGCUGCCCUACACAUUCUGUCCCAAAGUCAAAUCUCGUGAAGACUCUUUGAAGACUUUCUUGAAGAACAACUCCAGUGGAUGAGGGUCAUGUGAGAGAGCUGAGUCCAAGCAACUUUUCAGCCAACAAAAUUCUUGCAGGAUCUGCAAAUGAUCCAGGAAUAGUUCUUGGAUGAACAGGGAGCCCAGAGCAAUGCAAGAUAAUUGCCAAGGACAAGACUAGGUCAAUCCAAGCCUGGAGCAUUUGUCAAUUUAGCCACAGUAAUUCCAGCAGACAUGCACAACUCUGUCCCUGCUUGAGAGCAUAGACCUAGGGAACCUCUGAGCUGCAGAAGUCUGGAGCUUUCUCCUGUAUGCAGUCACUUCAGCAAUGGUGAAUGUUUGCGUGCCUAAGUGCAACAGCUCCAGGAAUGCUACAGAUGUGUUGCUCCUAAUAACGAGGUCAGAUCAAGAUUGUGUUGCAAUUAUGAGGGAAGAUCUAUAUUUAUCGCAUGAAAAGAAUCUGUACAGAAGCCACAGCUGUAUCUCCGCCUGGCACGGCAUUUCCAGUCUGCACUAAUGCUGUAGAACCUUCUGGUAAGGAAAACUCUGGCACUGUGCAGUCAGUGCUACAGGUCCUUCUUCUCUUUUGCUUGAAAUGCCAUUGGAGAUGCUAAAAAACCCUUUCUUCCUUUCUUCUAUGAUGACAGUUAGAAAUGGAACACUGAAAUUCACACGUGUGUUUGCAAGAGCUGGGACUUCAAGAGAAAUAUCAAAUAACUUUGGUCACAGCAGAAAAGCAGACAAAUGCAGUUCUAGGUAAUAUUUGCUGCAGAGUUCCAGUUAUACUUUGGCAUUCACUUGCUGUCUCAUAGCCUCAUGCAGUUGUAUCUGAGUACCUUAUAGUCUGCUGAACCUCUGUCCUCAGAACAUCCGUGUGAAAAACUGCCGACCAAUUUUCCCAGGAGAUGCAAUAGGGAUUGGCAAAAGAAGUUCAUAACUGUUCCAGUAUCAGCCUCUCAUCAAUUCACUCUUGACAAAGGUUACGCUGGAAAAUUGGUUUCCCCCAGCACAAAAACAAUGUGAUCAGUGGCAUUCUGUAAUGAUGAAAGAUGCUCUUUUUGUAAAAGGCCUUAGCUAGAGAGCUGUAAAAUACAAACUCUGUUUGUAAAAUCUAUUGUAACAUCUAAGAUCAGUUUUGGCUCUGCCAAUGCUUCCUCAGUAAAUGCUUGUGGACAAAGCAAGUCUUCCUCUGUCUCAGUUCCAUGUGUGAAAUGCACAGCUCUGAUUCAGCACUCCCAUUACUGGUCCAGAUGAGCUGGGAUAUUUAAGGAUAUCAGUUCACCGCUGUGUGAAUUCCAGCAGUGCUCUGCAGAUACAAUUCAGACAUGCAGAUGCUGCCUUAGAAAGCUUGCCUGUCCCUCUGGAGCCUGUCACUGGGCAUUUUCAUUACCACAACCAAUUUAUGCCCCAAAUAAUCAAUGAGUAAGCGUUGGGAGUGCUGAGGUCUGUGUAUCUAAUCCUCUGCUCUCAUUCUGAUUACAUUUUUUUCAACUGCUUCCACUACAGUGUGAAUUGUU